AUGCAGCUGCUUGUGUUGUUGUGUUGCGUAGCGAUGGCGGCGGCGGUGCCACAUUCAGGGAUGGAGGGGAGAAAACUUUCAGAGACGCAGGGCCUGCUCAGGUCCUUCUACACCAUCGGCAGCCCCCAGAGUGACGGAUCCCAUCCGUCGCUGAAUAUCAAGCUGGGAUGCUGCGAAGCGGCGCUCACCUGUUUCCACGACAACCUUAAGAACGUCACGGCGCAGCACGAGAUAGCGUCGGGCAUGCAAUUGUUCAGCAGUCUGAAAAACUCAAACCUGAGGAAGGCUGUCCAGUGCAAAGACCCUGGCCCCGCCCCGGAUCAUUCCUGCCCAGCCUGCGAUUCUUUCCCCAGGACGAAGGCGGAGCUUGUCAACCAGCUGUCCCAGUUCCUCGAAAAGGCAGCGAGCAGCUUGUCUACAAAAAGACGGGGAUGAAUCCACCAACUAGGACGCAGCUGAACCCACCAAUCCGGACGCAGCUGAACCCAUCAGACCUCAUCUACAUUCAAAUUUUUAUUUAAGAGCAGCUCACAAUAAUGUAUUCCCAUUAACAGGCCAUAGAUCUUAUUCAUAUGAAUAUUUAUUUUCUUUGUAUUAACUGAUUUACUUAUUUAAUAUUUAUUAAUUUAUUAUUUAUUCAUUUAUUUAUACAGAGUGUGUGGACACUUGGUUAUUGGUUCUUAAAGAACCUAUGAUUUGCUACCGUUCAUGGUAAUUUAUUUAUUUACAAAUAAAAUUAUUUUUAUUUAAUAAAAAUGCCUUUGUCUUGUUUUUGAUACUGAGUCACAUGAUGAAUCUGCUUCUGCCUUAUUAUUAUUUCACCAUUUAAAUUGCUAAUAUUUCCCUGUUGCCCAUCUCUUUAAAAAAAAAAUUGUCCUUAAUUAAAAUUGUCCUUAAGAGGUGCCUCCUUUCGAACAUAGGAAAAGACAGCACUGUUUAAAAUGAAUUAGACUCCACUUUUCAGAAACCAACAUCAUUGCGUGACGGCGAGUAUUGCUGACAUCUAGCGUCUCUAGCGUGGACCUAUAGUUUUCCGGAGUUGGACUACAACAUGUGCUCUUUCGAUCCAUGCAUUCUUGUCGCAUUGAUUUCAAUCAUGAUGUCGCCAAAAGUGAGAAUCACAUAGGCCCAGGGGCGUAGGAACGUGUUUAACAUUGGAGGGGACACAUAUCGGAAACCUGACAGAUUCAUUGAUGGUUCGAAGAGAAAUAUGUCAUAAAUGAACUACACUGCAAAACAUUCACAAAUGUAUUUUAUUAUUCUAAAAAUAUACAUUUGUAAAGGAAAACACAUUUUGAAUGGCAGUAUUGAACUGAUACAUAUCAAAUCAAUUAUUUAAUUGCAGGCCUUAUCAUACAGUUUUGUAGACUGAUAAAUAACAUGUGAAAAAUAUUGAUCUAAAUUUGAAUUCGUAUUUUCUGAAUACCUUUUCUUUUCUUAGUUGUAGCCUAUCUUAUGCCUCAAUGAACACACAGGCAAAGGUUAAGGUUAAAGAGAAAAACAGCAUCAAGAAUUUUAACACGGUUCUAUCAACAUCCUUUCUGUACCGACAGCGAUAUAUUGAUGCACUUCUUAUGACAAAUGUACUUAUUGUAAGUAGCUUUGGAUAAAAGCGGCUGCUAAAUGCCCUAAAUGUAAACGUAAAUGUAACUUGUUUUUAAUCUCGAGUAGGCCUAUGUGAUAUUAUUCGAACAUUUCCACUAACUGAUUGGUGUGUGAAGGCAAACGAAAACGACAUUAGAAUGGAUGUAAUGAACUGAUAAAUAUAAAUUAGUUUGUAGAACUGAUACAAAUAAAAGCUAGAUAGCACUGUAGUGUUAUCCAACAGUGUCAAACGUGCCGUGACACACAAAAGGUUGAAAAACUAUGGCCUAGGCAAAAGAGCCAAAAUGUUUUCUUCUCCUGUCAUUUGCAGCCACGAAAUGCUUGCAAAUUGACUUCUUGUCAGUAAGUCAAGUCUAUCCUGAUGGACAUGACAGACAGCAACAUGGUUGAGUCUGUUUUGAGACAUUGUGGACCGGAGCCAGGUUUUGAGCCUGCGGAGGACACUAAAACUUCUCUGCUAUUCUACUGCCGUCUUUUCAUUUUAACAGCUCUAACCUGUUGCGUUAGCUGCAGACACCCGCAUCUCAAACAGUCUGAGCCGUUGAUGGGAUGCGGCAGCUUAUGGCUGUCUUGCGAGACAGCCGUAUUCACGCGAGAUCACGAGAUCACGCGAUUAGAGUUGCAGGCUGGCAGCGAUCAGCAGCGGUGACAGCGGCGCUUACGUCCCCGAUGGAAAGCAGGCAACUAUUCUUCUAGGCAGCGAUUCGAAGGCGUUUCCAGCCUGAAGUCCUUAUAACUUCCAACCGCCCCCAACCCUACGCGCUGCCAUACAUGGGGCAGGUGACAAGACGCUGCGUUGCGCUUUCAAAAUAAAAGCGAGUAAAAUAUAAAAAAUAUAUAUAUAUAUUUUGCGGUAUAAUUUUUGGGGGGGACAAAUGCGCCUGUCUCGAAAAUUGGAGGGGACACGUCCCCUCCGUCCCCCCCGGUUCCUACGCCCUUGCGGCCUAUAGGCUGGACUUGGCCAACGGGAAUAUUUUGGGCCACUUGAAUCCCACAUGUGAAAAA
rnacentral:lncRNA from 1 species